rnacentral:misc_RNA from 1 species
GGCUUUUGCAUUUUUCCUGUGCACAAAAUGUUAUUCCAUUAAAUUAAUGCUAAAGCUAACACUCAAUGAUUUUGUGUCAUUCCAUUGAAUUAAUGCUAAAGCUACCACAAAAUGUUAUCCCAUUAAAUUGCUAACUCCAUGGAUAAGGCUGUAGACAAGAAUAACAUCUUAUUCCAAGAACCUCCAGUGCCAACCAGUGCCACUCCACUCAACUAGGUCACUUGACAUUUCCCAAACCAAGGAUGGAUUAAAGCCACAUGGCAGCUCAACUUAAUCAGCAUUCAGUCAGCAAAUAGUUCUUUCCGCAAUGUCAAAACCAACUAUGCUUAGCCUAGUUAACUGCCAUCCUGCCUUAGGGUCAGGGAGGUUGGCAACUCAAAUACCCACACCUCUUUAAUAAGCAAAUACUCGAUUUCACAUAUCAAUUAUACUUGCAAUAUUGCUUCACCCAUUGAAAUUUGAAAGUUUUAAUUAGGAAUUGUCUAUUAGCUAGAACUUGGCUUCUAAAUUCAAAUUGUAUAUUUACUUCUUACUAUAAAUCAAAGAAGAAAAAAAAAGGACAUCAAAUGUUCUUUCUACAAACACCAUGAGUUUCAACUUGG